ensembl:snRNA U6 U6 spliceosomal RNA
GCACUCGCUUCAGCAGCACAUAUACUAAAAUUGAAAUGAUACAGAGACACUUAGCAUGGCCCCUGCGCAAGAAUGACACACAAAUUCAUGAAGCAAUCCAUGUUUUC